rnacentral:rRNA from 1 species
GACGAACGCUGGCGGCGUGCUUAACACAUGCAAGUCGAACGGAAAGGCCCUGCUUUUGUGGGGUGCUCGAGUGGCGAACGGGUGAGUAACACGUGAGUAACCUGCCCUUGACUUUGGGAUAACUUCAGGAAACUGGGGCUAAUACCUGAUAGGAGCUCCUGCUGCAUGGUGGGGGUUGGAAAGUUUCGGCGGUUGGGGAUGGACUCGCGGCUUAUCAGCUGGUUGGUUGGGUAGUGGCUUACCAAGGCUUUGACGGGUAGGCGGCCUGAGAGGGUGACCGGGCCCAUGGGGACUGAGAUACGGACCAGAGGCCUACGGGAGGCAGCAGUGGGGAAUAUUGCACAACGGGGGGAAGCGUGAGGUAGCAACGCCGCGUGCGGGAUGACGGCCUUCGGGUAGCAAACCGCUUUGGCCUGUGACGAAGCGUGAGUGACGGUAAUGGGUAAAGAAGCACCGGCUAACUACGUG